AAACGAUCCAUUUAUCCACGUUAUUGAGAGUAUAAAUUAUUUAUUAACUGUACGUCGCACGUGAAUUAUAUAAAUAAUUAUCAAUUAUAUAUAUAAUUGAAUGUAUAAUUCACGUUGUUGAUUGCAAAUUAUACUCAAAUACGCGAACGAUCAUUAAUCACUACGCUGACUGUGAUCAAGGUUUAUGUAAUGUGAUCAGGUUCACACAGUCAAGCGAUGAAGAACAAGAAGAUCACGAUUGCUAUCUGGUCGUAAUGCAUGAUGAAGUGCCGUAAACGAUAAUUGCAUGAUAACAAUCGUUAAUUAGUCAAGAUAACGUCGCAUGAAAGUAAAGUGGCUAGCAAAUAAAUAACUAAAAUACAGCAGCAGAAAUGCAUCUGUCAGCGAUAGAUUACGAGUAGAACGCAUUUCGAUGGCUGGCGCGAGCGGAUGAUCAUCUUCGCGCGAAUGAUUUGCGAGACGCGGACGAAGAAGAUGCAGUGUCGCGAUUGCCUUAAGCUUCCCGAUGGUAAAUCACUCAUCAGGACGGGCGUUAUCGCAGCACAAUUUGUUAUAGUCAAUAUGAAAGGUAAUAAGAAUGUCCGAUGAAUGUCUUAGAGGAAAAUCCGGGACGCGUUUUCGAACUUUCAAACGCGCCGUAUGAAUCGUGUCGCUGUCAGACGCGGGACGCGAUUUUAUACUUUCACUUUGACGCGCUUUUAAUUACGCGUAAUUUGUCGCCGUGGCGUUUAACGUCGCGGUAAAGCGACGUGAUUUUUCGCACUCGAUAAUCGGGUAUUAUCGUCUCGCGGCGCAUCAUUAAAUGCGGAUUAAACAAUCGAGUUUUGCCGCGCGCCGUGCGCGAAAAUCACUCGCUGUCAGAAGAGCGAAUCUAAAAGUUUGUAACACGGUCUCAUGUAGCGUCAUAUCUAAAUAAAUUCUAUACGUACAAAGUGUGGAAGAAAUCUCGCUGACUUUUACCCCUCACAUUUUCUAUUUAAUUUUCUUUCUGAUCAUAUUUCUUCCCAAUUAUAGCUUCAACUGGACAUCUUUUAAAAGCUCAACUGUUUUCAGAUAUUUUGGAGAUCUAACGUUUCGGAAAUUACGGUAGACGAUCACGCUGACAUCCCUUUAACGGAAGUUCGAUCUUAAAUCGUCCUAAAGAUAUAUCGUUGAACGUGAAGUCGGCGGCGAUGAGACGUUCCGGAUCAGAUUGCUCUUUAAGCAGCAACUAGGCAGCCAUACGUCAUACGUAUUAUAUUAUACAAUUGAACCGUAAUUGUAUCAUCCCACGAAGUACGACUUCUCUCUUUCCCCCUUCACGGUCGAUUCUAGGUCAGUGUGACGAAGUCGCCGCAGUCGUGGAUCUCGCAUGCAUGUUUCACGAGGUCCGGCGUUCGCGUCGAUACGACGUAUCGGGCAGCUCCGACUUCUCGAAACACCUAUAGAUAGAACUCACGCUCUCAACUUGUCGCGUAUUCGCGGAAUAGCUGCUAUAUUUGCGACGAGAGAUGACAUCGUUUCGCGCGCGCCCCAGAAGAUGCCGGCAGGCCUUUUUUUAGAUCGUCGAUGCACAGUUUCGGCGAACGAAGGCGAUUACAGACCUUCUUCUUUACAAUGCGCCAGUAGCAAUAAUGCUAUUUAUAGCGACGCAAUGUACAGACAACUCAUUCGAGUUGUUGCGAAUGUAAAUUGCACUCUGAAUGCGGAAUAAUUCUGCGGAUCUUCUGCGUCCUCUGGUGAAUCUCCGAUUUCUGUACUGUGAAAAUUUGAUGACAUUUAUAAUAAUUGAAUUUUCCUCGACUGGAUUUCCCCGGAGACGGACAAGAACCAACAGGAAUUACGUAAUUAAGAUUGCGAUGAGAUUGCACGAGGACACGAUCGCGAUCACGUGCGGUUAUCCGAUUCUGCGUGUAUUCUGAGUUACGUCGUGAUUGAACAUACGUGUAGUGACAUUUUUACGGAAUUUCGUAAAUUCCCUCAUUUGCUUGUUUAUUAGGAAACUGCAUUUCGCGGAGAGAUUAACGACCUGACAUUUCGAUGCGUCCGACAUCCGAGGUACCGAGUCAUUACAGCAAACCGCAUGCGAUGGACACCAUAAAAAAAGCUAAAUGUUGCCGCACGAUUCUGUUACUAAUUUUUUUGUUAGUCGACGUGACAAUAUUACCCAAAGAAAAGACUGAUUUCUCUCGGAACAUUAAUAUUUAUCUAUACGACAUCCUUAAAUCUUUAAAUUCUUAUUAGAUCAUUGACGUUACAAAUUACAAUCCAUACACGCGUCCAUCGGAAAUUUAAAAAAAUUCUCUUUCUGCUUAGGACUCGCAAUGCGACAUUAGCAGAACUAUUCCAUUCCUCAGUUUGAAUGCGCAUCUUCUACAGUGCGGAAUUUGGAGUUACGCAAAUUUGCGAAGCGUACAACGGAGAUGCGUGCCUAACGGAGUGAUACCGCGAGAGGGAUGCUGUGAGAGGGAGAGAGGACUGCUACAUUCAGCCGACGUGGACAGGACUUGUUCGACCGGCGCCAAUCCGGUGUCUUUGACGUGCGGAUAACCGAGCACGACGAUUCUGCCGGGUAAGACCGGGUAUGUUUCGACAACGCGUUGCGCCACAAACGCGCACGUGCAAUGCUGCGCAACGUGCAUGCACAGAAGGAUGCGCACGCGGAGGAGCGACGCGGAUUCGUCUUCAGCGCGGAUGCACGAGACCAUUGCACGUGAAACAGCAUUUCUUUCGAUGCAUCUGUAAUUGCGGGGUACUCGAAAGGGGAAGAAACUCGCUAAUUAUCCACUUUCCAAAAGUUGCAUUAAGUUGCAACUUGAGGAUUCGUCGACUUGUUCAACACUGGCCUCUCCUUACCUCAGCUCGACAAAUUAUAAUAACAACUUAAUAUGCCCAAAGAACACAUACACACAUGUUCAUAGAGGAAACGCAAAUUACUGCGUUUUUACGGAAGAAAUUAAUACAUCGAGACCACUAAAAUAAAUACUUAAAUAACAAACGCGCGUAAUCAGAUGCAUAUAAAACUGCACAUAAAUAUAAUCUGGCACGUAAUUAAAGACGUAAUUAAAGUAUGAAUUAAUCAUUGUGAUAAACGGCUGCUUGUAGUAAUAGAGACUCAUUUCGAAAUAAAGUGGCUUCUGUCAGCUCC